GCACGCUGCGGCCGAGCGGCUCCCGCCGCCCCUGGGGACCGUGGGCGCUUCCCGGCGGAGCGGCCGCGCCACCCCCGUGCCCCGCUCCCGCGGGCGGCGCAGGCCGGCUCAGCAGAUCCGCAACCCCCCUUGCCAUGGCUCACCGCCCAGCGCCGAGCAGGCUGUUGCUGUAAAGUUGGAGGCGUGUCUUUAACAAUCCAGCUUGGUAUCUGAAGGAAGAUUCUUUCACGAUUCCUAUUCCUAUUCAAAGUACAUUUACCUGAUUGCCAACAAGCUCCUCUCUCUCUCAUCAGAUCACAACUGCACAAAGUGGACUCAGACCAUUAAAGAAGAGAAUAAGGAAGCUUCUCGUUCUCCCAAAUGGAUCUCUUAAGCACACAGCUGAUGGGAUGUCAGCAGAAUGCUAGUAGCUACAUCUAAUCAAAGCACUGAUAUUGCUUUGAUUUUUGAGGAGUUCAACUCUUGAUUGAGUUCAGCAGCCCUGCACCCACAAGGUUAUGACUGGGAACUGCAAGGUGGAGAAAAAGCAAUUCUUUCUGUCUUCUUUACAAAAUUCUUGACUAAGAAUUAUUUCUUUAUUCUUAAAAUUAUUUCUAUAUUCUUAAAUUUUCUUUUACAAGUGGGUGUGAGCACUGUUUUUUUGGUUGCAAUUUCCUGUCAGAAUUAAGUUCAGUUCUCAUCACUGUUAAAUUCUGCUGCUCAUUAUGAAUGCAAAAGACCUAAAGAAACUGUGGGCUUUGUUUUUUGGGAUGCACUCUGAACUCCUCUCAUCUGAAAUAGCAGCUUACAAAUAACCUGCCCCACAGGGGCUUUUGAUUUGUUUUGCUGUGGUUGGAUAAAGUUUUAAAAGGGUUUUUCUAGCAUAGGGGAGGCGUGAUAUAUUGAUUCAAUUUGAAAAUCCUCAGAUAUUAUCACUGCACUCCAUCUUGUGGAAGAGACAACAACAUGUUUUUAAAUGAUUCUGUAGUGGUUUGAGUAAUUAAACCUAACAGUGUUUGGUUUGUACUGCCAAAACAAAGAACUACAUAUAGCAAUGGAUACAAGAAGUUGCUUAAUCUUAAUUUGCCUAAGUGUACCCGGUGGGUUUCUGUAAAUGUCCCUUGGUUUUAGAUAUGAGCUUUACAUAUUCUUUGUUUUGGAAAGGAGCUUUAGGAAAGCAUUCUAAGAGCCUGAUUUGAAAAGCGAAACUAAAGAAGAAAAGAAUCUGCUUUCUAGGUGAGGUUGCCAAGGAGCACUCCAGAUUUGGGAGAGUUUUGGGGAUGGUGAUCCAUUGGGACGAUGUGGCUGGGGUAAAGACUCUGCUAAGCAAGAUUGCUCUGUAGGGAACUUGCUGGGUUUGGGGUUUGGUCUGUGUGGUUUUGGUGGUUUUUUGUUACCCUUGUAUUAAGUACAAUAAUCCAGUUGUAUCUGGACAGUGUUUUGAGGUUCACUCUCCUACCAAAAAAAAAAAAAAAAAAGAAAAAAAGAAAGUUAUGAGAUUCACUCAUGUAUUUCUGAAACUUCCUUUCAUAGCUUGUGACCUUUUCCCCUUAAUGUCUAGUGCUGCUUUGGGAAAUCAAAAUAGGUAUUGAGGCAACAAUUGUGAACCAUAGCAGGGGCAUAGUCAUACAUACCUGUAACUGACCAGAUUCAGAGAAAAUUGAGAAACUUAUCUGGGUUCACUGCUAUAAAAAGGUUAACCUUAUAAUAGUUGCCCUAGGACAAGCAUGAAGAUAAAGCCGUUUAACUUUAAUGAAUAACUUAAAAUACAAAGGCCUAGUUAUUCUAACUGUUCCGGGGGCAGAAGAAAAAAGGUUUUAUUGGAAAAAGAUUGUAGAAAAGCUUAGUCAUUCAGACCCAAAGAAGCAGGGAAAAACAGGUCUUGCAUGUGAAGGAGUUAGGAGAAAAUUCUAUUGUACAAAUGAGGAUCCUCUGAAUUACCUCACCCCAGAAAUAGGUUCCACAAGGAGACUGAAAGUAAUUAGCAGUCAUGCGUUACUUUUUCUUUUUGUUGUUGUUGGUUUUUUGUUUGGUUUUGUUUUGUUUUUUUUUUUUUUUGUUGUUGUUGUUGUUUUUUCCCCAUAACUCUCCCAUCCCUUUUAGUAGCAGUAAUGUCUGUGCCUCUCCCUAUGAUGUGACAUAGAGCAGCAGUGCUGAAUGAAGCACUGGCCUUUUCUGUAUCAUUUACAAACAAGGGGGUUGGACAACAACUUGCUGAAGGCUGCUGUGUUUUACUGCUCCAGACUGAGCUGUCUAGUAAGACUGAAUUGAUCUAACUAAUGCCUCAGUGCAAACAAAGCCUUGAAGGUGGAGUGUCUCUGUCUACUAUUCUAAUAGUGGAGACAGGUCUCAUUAGUUCCUGAUGUAUACUAAAGGCGGGCAAUCUUCAUUGACUACAGUGUUUGUUAGCCUUUUCCAGACUCCUUGGUCGUUUUCCUAAAGCAAUGACUCACUACUCCAUCACUGCACUGAUUACAUUAAAUUGUUACUAUUAUUGCAUAGUAACAUAAAUAACAUAAUGUUUAUGUUAAUUCACUUUGUGUGCAACUGCCAGAAUUAUUGAAACAGUCCUCAAUAGAAAGAAACCUACAUGAGCAUUUUGGCAUUAUUUAGACUCUUUCUGAUUAUGCUUUUUGAUAUUGUAGGUAAACCUUGGAGCAAAUUACCAGACCUUUUUGUAAAACCAUUAGUAUUGUGUGAGGGAAAAUCAGGACAGUACUGCUCUUAAAUAUCUACUCUAGUUCAGCCUUGCAGAUUUUUUUUUUUUUUCCUUACAGAACAGGCCAAGAGUAAUCUUGGGGCAGGGGUAAGAGGGAAGAUUUCCCAAAAUGAAGUCUGUUUUUUUGAAGAAUUCAAUAUGGAUGAUAAAACAAUGCAAUUAGAUUUGGGGAUUUUUCCAACAGUAGCAAGAAAACAUGCAAAUGAACAGAACAAAAGUCAGAUGUUUAGAGAAUAUAUAUUUGCAUUUAUUUUAUUAAGCAGAGAGUUGUACACAAUCCCAACAGUGUCUUGAGUUUCAAAACUGCCUCUGAACUCUGUGCCCAGGAGGGAAAAGAUUUCAAAAUGUAGUUUCUGCUAUAUGCAACAUAAGAAAAACUCUUAUCAUCCUUUUUGCCUGCUUUUUUCUUUGUAAUAGAAUGAAUUUGAAGACGUGAAAAAACACAGUAUAGUGUAACAAGGAAAAGAUAGUACUAAGGUCUGACCUUGGUGGAUUAUUCAUAUGUUUGAAGUUACACAGGUAUUUUGUUAUGCUUACCACAGUAACUGAAGCAAGGGAAGAAAGACUGGUGAGUAAGGAUUACAGUGGUAAAACAGGUGCUGUUUUGAAGUGGAAAUUUAUGACAUUGACCUGAGCAUUGGUGCAGAAGGCUGGUGAAUUGGAGCUGAUAUUGAAAUGUAGCACAAAAAUGCUUUCACACCUUUUCUCUAGAAAAAUUUAAUCCUCUAGAGCUGUGUUUGCAAUGGAGCACAUUAUCAGCUAAUCAUUUCCUCACAGCUUCAUUACUUUGUUUUCUAUCCUGUUUUCACUCUGAGAGGAAGAAAGAAAGAGAAAGCAUGUCAAUAAAUUUUUUCUCAUUGCCAAGCAAAUAUGAGAUGGUUUAGUAUACAAUUUCAGGUAUUGCCACAUAUUCAGUGUCUCUUGGCUUCCUUUGACCAUCUGACUGCUAUUGAAUUCCUCUUUUAUUUCUUAUAACAAAGAUGAAAAGAUGGUAAACAAACCUCACGAAUUCACCUGCCUCCCAAAGGCCAUUUGAGGCUUCAGUUGCUACUGUUUGCCUUUGAAGCAAGAUAAACCAAAGCUCUAUUGCAUCUGUGCACCAUCCACAGCAGCAUGAAAAGAAUGUUUUGAGAAAAUUCAGCUUUCAAUUUCCAAUCUGCAUGACCUGGUAAUGUCUGGGCUGUAACUUAAGUAACUUAAAUCCUUCAGUAAUUAUAAUAAUUUAAGGAGCCUGGGGAAGUGGAGGACAAAGCACAGAAUAGUCUCCAAUUUUGCUCUUAAUUUUUUUGCUCAAUUCUGAAAACCAUGUAUAUUCAUCCCAUAUGCUAGUUUUAAGAAAGGAAUGAAACUCAACAUUUCUCUUCAUUUGAACUCUCCCAUAAUAGAACCAGCAAACUUCUCGCAGUUAAUAUGCUGGACAGGGAGGCUAUGUCCAGUAUUACUGAAACUGAUAAACUCUUUUUAGUUUGUUUCCUUUUGUUCUGUCAUCCAGGAACCAAGGGCAAACAAUAUUUCCUGGAUUUCCUAGUGAGAAACUAUAAACUCCUUUCCCCACUCUCUACCUUCCCCUAUUCCCAGUUCAGUGUUGCCCAUGCUUCCAUGAUUAUGGUGUAAUAAAAGAAGUCCUUCCCCCAUUCCAAUCCCAUCUGUGCCUGGUUUUAAUAAUUUGCUAUGGUAUCACCUUCAGCCUAGAUUUAUAUCUACUUCAGUUACUUGAUAUAAUUUUCAGUAGGAUCUCUAUGAUACAUAUUGGUAUAUCUGUUUUGAAACAGUUUUUUUUAACUGAAAACAUAGGAAUUAAAAUUAGGAAUGUUAGUUUUCAGCAAAUCCUUUAGGAUCCUUACAUUACAGUCUAGGGAAACUGGCUGGAAUGAUUUUUCAAUGUCUUUGUCAAGGAAACUAUCUACAAUGUAGUGUCUGAGCGUGUCCAGUUUUUUGUUCAACUACACUCUAAGAAAAUAAUUACAAAAUAUGACUUCUGCCACAAGCACCUUUCUUUUGUGAUGGCACAAAUUUGGUAAUCUAAUUCUGUGUAUCAUGUUAGAAUUGUCGCCAUUCAUUCACCAGCAAAUUUGACUUUUUUAGAAGAUGCUAGAAGUGAAGAUGGACAACAUAGAUGCUAUUUAUUAGAAACAUUUUUGUUUCUUUUUAUUCAGAACCAAAAUCAAUGCCCCAUGAACUUAAUCUUAUGAAGUUAUCUUUAUAAUAAAAGAGGUUUCUGAACUGAAAACCAAUAAUGAAUGCUUCACAGAUCCUCCAGUUAAAUAAAAAUAAUGGUGAAAAACUCAUUUAUCAUUGAAAGAAAACAUUACAUUAAAUAAGAUAUUAUUCCCAUUUACCAUUGGAAAAUACCUGUGUUGGAAUUCCCUUCUCUGAACUGGUAAGUGACUUCAGCAAAGACUGAACAUGAAAUAGUACUUUAAAACAAAAUUUUCUGUUCAGUCAUUUUAAUGAAAAUAUAAAAAUUUUACUGAGAUGUUCCACAUAAUUUUUAGUUCUCUCUUUAAAAUAGUUGCAACCCUAUUUUAAUUGCACCUGGGAUUAUCUAAGUUUUCAAAUUCUCUGUAAGUACUCUUUGUCCUAAAUAUGCCAUACAAUUUUUUGAGCAGCACUAGUAACUCAAGAGUGACUUUCAGUUGUGGAGGCCUUUACAAUUCACACCCCUCAAAGAGGAAAAAAAUGUCCUAAGAACAUCCAUGAAUGGGGAAAAUGCCCUACUGUCUUGGACUGUGGAUCUUUUUUUCUCAGAGAAUGGCAAGAGACCCUCUCACCAAAACACAUCAGGUAUUUUGAGUGUACAUCAAAUGCCAUCUCUCCUCCAGAUAUGCUCACUGAAGUUCCUGCUGUGCUUUUCCCUCUGCACUUUUUAUUUAUACACUCCCAAACCAAGACCCUUUCAAGUUGCAGCUUCCAGAUCCUGUUGAUUGUACAUGUCACCUGAAGAAGGAAGCUGGAUGGAGGCAUCCUGAUGACAGUGGAACCUGUGUAUAUUCAUUUCAUCAUUGUCCCACGUCUUCAGACAGAGCAUCACUGGGCAGCCUCCACCUGCUCCUUGGUUAACCUCCAAGAAGCGAUGAGUGAUGUCAGAGUUUCUCUGCUUCAUGCCCUCCUCCAGUUCACUAGGUCUGAAUUUUCAGAUCUAUAAUGCUUCCCUUUCUAUCAUUUGUUGUUUGUUGUUGUCUAUUUUUUGUCCUUGUUUUCAUUACCUAUAGCCCUCUCCCCCCCUUGGGGGUCUUCAAGGUUUUGCUUAUGCAAAAUUCUGUUUUUCUAAACAGAAAAGCAAAUAGAAACAGCAACAGCAAGAGAAACUGUUUACAGAGUGCACACAAGCUUGGGCACCGUCUUCAAACUCUUCUUUGUACUCGCCUAGCUUCUCUGGCUCUUACAAAAAUGCAGAAGUGCCAAAAGUGAACAACUAGGAGAGGUUUUUGUGACAGCAGCUCUCUGGCCACAGAGAGCAAUGCACAACUUUCCCAGGCAUUGUCUGGGGGAAGGCUGUGAGAAGAUCAGAGAAAAGAAUGAGAAACAAUUCUUAUCUUCACUUGCUGCACCUGUUGUGGAAUGUGUUACGGAGAUUUGUUUACCAAAGGGUGGUUUCUUAAUUGGCCAAUGGUAAUGAUGUUUAGAUUGAAGGACCAAUUUGGUCCACCUGUAUCAUGAUUGUCUGUAAGGGUGAUAAGUUUCUUAAUAAGUACAGUAUAAUAAAGUGAUUGAUCAGCCUUCUGAGAA